GGCAGUAUGGUAGCAUAGUGGUUUGAGCAUCAGAUUAGGACUCUGGAGACCAGGGUUUGAAUCCCUGCUCAGCCA
rnacentral:tRNA from 1 species